GAUGAACGCUGGCGGCGUGCUUAACACAUGCAAGUCGAACGAACCUUCGGGUUAGUGGCGGACGGGUGAGUAACGCGUGAGAAUCUGCCCUCAGGAGGGGGAUAACAGCUGGAAACGGCUGCUAAUACCCCAUAUGCCGCGAGGUGAAAUGAAUUUCGCCUGAGGAUGAGCUCGCGUCUGAUUAGCUAGUUGGUGUGGGUAAUGGCUCACCAAGGCAUCGAUCAGUAGCUGGUCUGAGAGGAUGAUCAGCCACACUGGGACUGAGACACGGCCCAGACUCCUACGGGAGGCAGCAGUGGGGAAUUUUCCGCAAUGGGCGAAAGCCUGACGGAGCAACGCCGCGUGAGGGAUGAAGGCCUCUGGGCUGUAAACCUCUUUUAUCAAGGAAGAAGAUCUGACGGUACUUGAUGAAUAAGCCACGGCUAAUUCCGUGCCAGCAGCCGCGGUAAUACGGGAGUGGCAAGCGUUAUCCGGAAUUAUUGGGCGUAAAGCGUCCGCAGGCGGCCCUUCAAGUCUGCUGUUAAAAAGUGGAGCUUAACUCCAUCAUGGCAGUGGAAACUGAGGGGCUUGAGUGUGGUAGGGGCAGAGGGAAUUCCCGGUGUAGCGGUGAAAUGCGUAGAUAUCGGGAAGAACACCAGUGGCGAAGGCGCUCUGCUGGGCCAUCACUGACGCUCAUGGACGAAAGCCAGGGGAGCGAAAGGGAUUAGAUACCCCUGUAGUCCUGGCCGUAAACGAUGAACACUAGGUGUCGGGGGAAUCGACCCCCUCGGUGUCGUAGCCAACGCGUUAAGUGUUCCGCCUGGGGAGUACGCACGCAAGUGUGAAACUCAAAGGAAUUGACGGGGGCCCGCACAAGCGGUGGAGUAUGUGGUUUAAUUCGAUGCAACGCGAAGAACCUUACCAGGGUUUGACAUCCUGCGAAUCUCUUGGAAACGAGAGAGUGCCUUCGGGAACGCAGUGACAGGUGGUGCAUGGCUGUCGUCAGCUCGUGUCGUGAGAUGUUGGGUUAAGUCCCGCAACGAGCGCAACCCACGUCUUUAGUUGCCAGCAUUUAGUUGGGCACUCUAGAGAGACCGCCGGUGAUAAACCGGAGGAAGGUGUGGAUGACGUCAAGUCAUCAUGCCCCUUACAUCCUGGGCUACACACGUACUACAAUGCUACGGACAAAGGGCAGCAAGUUCGCGAGGACAAGCAAAUCCCAUAAACCGUGGCUCAGUUCAGAUCGUAGGCUGCAACUCGCCUACGUGAAGGAGGAAUCGCUAGUAAUCGCAGGUCAGCAUACUGCGGUGAAUACGUUCCCGGGCCUUGUACACACCGCCCGUCACACCAUGGAAGUUGGCCACGCCCGAAGCCGUUACUCCAACCCUUGUGGAGGAGGACGUCGAAGGUGGGGCUGAUGACUGGGGUGAAGUCGUAACAAGGUAUCCGUACCGGAAGGUGCGGAUGGAUCACCUCCU
rnacentral:rRNA from 1 species